rnacentral:rRNA from 1 species
AUUGAACGCUGGCGGCAUGCCUUACACAUGCAAGUCGAACGGUAACAGGUUAAGCUGACGAGUGGCGAACGGGUGAGUAAUGCAUCGGAACGUGCCCGAUCGUGGGGGAUAACGCAGCGAAAGCUGCGCUAAUACCGCAUACGAUCUGAGGAUGAAAGCGGGGGACCGUAAGGCCUCGCGCGAUCGGAGCGGCCGAUGUCAGAUUAGGUAGUUGGUGGGGUAAAGGCUCACCAAGCCAACGAACUGUAGCUGGUCUGAGAGGACGACCAGCCAAACGGGGACUGGGAAACGGCCCAGACUCCUACGGGAAGCAGCAGUGGGGAAGUUUGGACAAUGGGCGAAAGCCUGAUCCAGCAAUGCCGCGUGCAGGAAGAAGGCCUUCGGAUUGUAAAGCUCUGUCGUUUGGGACGAACGUGCUUUGUGUGAAUAAUGCAGAGUAAUGACGGUACCAAAGGAGGAAGCCACGGCUAACUACGUGCCAGCCGCCGCCGUAA